UACGGAGGGUGCAAGCGUUGUCCGGAAUUACUGGGCGUAAAGAGCUCGUAGGUGGUUUGUCGCGUUGUCCGUGAAAACUCACAACUCAAUUGUGGGCGUGCGGGCGAUACGGGCAGACUGGAGUACUGCAGGGGAGACUGGAAUUCCUGGUGUAGCGGUGGAAUGCGCAGAUAUCAGGAGGAACACCGGUGGCGAAGGCGGGUCUCUGGGCAGUAACUGACGCUGAGGAGCGAAAGCGUGGGGAGCGAACAGG
rnacentral:rRNA from 1 species